rnacentral:rRNA from 1 species
AGCUCCAGAAGCGUAUAUUUAUAUUGCUGCGUUUAAAAAGCUCGUAGUUGAAGCGUCAGACGCGGCGGGGCGGACGGCCGUACCGGUCGAUCUCGCCCCGCCGAGCCAGGCGCGGAGGGCGUCCGUCGCUUGCACUUCACCGUGUGAGCGCGGCGCCGCCGCUCGUUCACCUUGAGGAAAUUGAACCGCUCAAAGGAGGCGAGCAGCUCGAACAGCUCAGCAUGGUAUGAUGCAAGACGGGCUCGUACUCGUUUUGCUGGUUUUAGAGUCGGCGAGCCAAUGAUUAACAGGGACUGCCGGGGGCAUUCGUACUCGGACGGGAGAGGUGAAAUUCAAGGAUCGUCCGAAGACGCCCGACUGCGAAAGCAUUUGCCAAGAAUGUUUUCAUUAAUCAAGAACG